rnacentral:rRNA from 1 species
GCAGUCGAGCGACAGACGAGGAGCUUGCUCCUCUGACGUUAGCGGCGGACGGGUGAGUAACACGUGGAUAACCUACCUAUAAGACUGGGAUAACUUCGGGAAACCGGAGCUAAUACCUGAUAAUAUAUUGAACCGCAUGGUUCAAUAGUGAAAGACGGUUUUGCUGUCACUUAUAGAUGGAUCCGCGCCGCAUUAGCUAGUUGGUAAGGUAACGGCUUACCAAGGCAACGAUGCGUAGCCGACCUGAGAGGGUGAUCGGCCACACUGGAACUGAGACACGGUCCAGACUCCUACGGGAGGCAGCAGUAGGGAAUCUUCCGCAAUGGGCGAAAGCCUGACGGAGCAACGCCGCGUGAGUGAUGAAGGUCUUCGGAUCGUAAAACUCUGUUAUUAGGGAAGAACAAAUGUGUAAGUAACUAUGCACGUCUUGACGGUACCUAAUCAGAAAGCCACGGCUAACUACGUGCCAGCAGCCGCGGUAAUACGUAGGUGGCAAGCGUUAUCCGGAAUUAUUGGGCGUAAAGCGCGCGUAGGCGGUUUUUUAAGUCUGAUGUGAAAGCCCACGGCUCAACCGUGGAGGGUCAUUGGAAACUGGAAAACUUGAGUGCAGAAGAGGAAAGUGGAAUUCCAUGUGUAGCGGUGAAAUGCGCAGAGAUAUGGAGGAACACCAGUGGCGAAGGCGACUUUCUGGUCUGUAACUGACGCUGAUGUGCGAAAGCGUGGGGAUCAAACAGGAUUAGAUACCCUGGUAGUCCACGCCGUAAACGAUGAGUGCUAAGUGUUAGGGGGUUUCCGCCCCUUAGUGCUGCAGCUAACGCAUUAAGCACUCCGCCUGGGGAGUACGACCGCAAGGUUGAAACUCAUAGGAAUUGACGGGGACCCGCACAAGCGGUGGAGCAUGUGGUUUAAUUCGAAGCAACGCGAAGAACCUUACCAAAUCUUGACAUCCUCUGACCCCUCUAGAGAUAGAGUUUUCCCCUUCGGGGGACAGAGUGACAGGUGGUGCAUGGUUGUCGUCAGCUCGUGUCCUGAGAUGUUGGGUUAAGUCCCGCAACGAGCGCAACCUUUAAGCUUAGUUGCCAUCAUUAAGUUG